UAUAAACUUAAAAUUUAAAAGACUUGACGGUACUUCACAACAACCUAGAGGAGCCUGUCUAAUAACCGAUACUCCACGAUUAACCCCACCCACCCUAGCCUAACAGUCUAUAUACCGCCGUCGCCAGCUUACCUUGUGAAAGAAAUAAAGUGAGCAAAAUAGACCAUUCCUAAUACGACAGGUCGAGGUGUAACCUAUGGGUGGGUAAAAGAUGGGCUACAUUUUCUAGCACAGAAAACACGAACAAACUAUGAAACUAGAAACUGAAGGCGGAUUUAGCAGUACGUUGAGAAUAGAAUGCUUAACCGAAAUCAACGCAAUGAAGUGCGUACACACCGCCCGUCAUCCCUG
rnacentral:rRNA from 1 species